AGACUGCACUAGGUUUCUUCCUCGAGGCAGUAGAAAAGCAUGGAGUUCCUUCAUGGGUAAGAGCAGACCAAGGUGUAGAAAAUGUGGACAUUGCAAGGUGGAUGUUCACUGUUCAGGGCUGUAGCAGGGGAAGUUUCAUUUCGCUCAUAAUCAAAGGUAAUUUCUUGGUUGAACGGCUAUGGAAAGAUGUGUGGAUGUCUGUUUCAAACUUGUAUUAUGAUGUUCUACAUAAUUUGGAAGAGAGUGGCUGUCUUGACCCAUCAAACACCAUUCACCUCUUCUGUGCACAUUGUUUUUCUUCCACGCCUCCAAAGAAACCUAGAUACAUUCACUGAUGCAUGGAAUGACCAUUCCAUCCGUACAGAGCAAAAUCUGUCCCCCAAUCAGCUGUGGGAAAUAGAACUUACACAGAAUCCAGUCAAUGUUUCAUGUAACGUGGAAGACCUCAACAUUUUGGUGCAAGAUGGCAUUUACCCCCAGGAGGAGCAGAACACUGGAGUAGUGGUCCCUCAGGUGGAGUGUCUGCUCUCAGAGAAUGAAAUGGCUCGACUCAGGACAACCAU